UCCAUCACCAAGGAGGAGAAGGACAGG
rnacentral:piRNA from 1 species